rnacentral:rRNA from 1 species
CAAUAGCGUAUAUUAAAGUUGUUGCGGUUAAAAAGCUCGUAGUUGAACUUCAGACCUGGCCGGGCGGUCUGCCUAACGGUAUGUACUGUCUGGCUGGGUCUUACCUCUUGGUGAGCCGGCAUGCCCUUCACUGGGUGUGUCGGGGAACCAGGACUUUUACCUUGAGAAAAUUAGAGUGUUCAAAGCAGGCCUAUGCCCGAAUACAUUAGCAUGGAAUAAUAAAAUAGGACGUGCGGUUCUAUUUUGUUGGUUUCUAGAGUCGCCGUAAUGAUUAAUAGGGAUAGUUGGGGGCAUUAGUAUUCAGUUGCUAGAGGUGAAAUUCUUGGAUUUACUGAAGACUAACUACUGCGAAAGCAUUUGCCAAGGAUGUUUNCAUUAA